rnacentral:rRNA from 1 species
GAUGAACGCUGGCGGCGUGCCUAAUACAUGCAAGUCGAGCGAACGGACGAGAAGCUUGCUUCUCUGAUGUUGGCGGCGGACGGGUGAGUAACACGUGGAUAACCUACCUAUAAGACUGGGAUAACUUCGGGAAACCGGAGCUAAUACCGGAUGAUAUUUUGAACCGCAUGGUUCAAAAGUGAAAGACGGUCUUGCUGUCACUUAUAGAUGGAUCCGCGCUGCAUUAGCUAGUUGGUAAGGUAACGGCUUACCAAGGCAACGAUGCAUAGCCGACCUGAGAGGGUGAUCGGCCACACUGGAACUGAGACACGGUCCAGACUCCUACGGGAGGCAGCAGUAGGGAAUCUUCCGCAAUGGGCGAAAGCCUGACGGAGCAACGCCGCGUGAGUGAUGAAGGUCUUCGGAUCGUAAAACUCUGUUAUUAGGGAAGAACAUAUGUGUAAGUAACUGUGCACAUCUUGACGGUACCUAAUCAGAAAGCCACGGCUAACUACGUGCCAGCAGCCGCGGUAAUACGUAGGUGGCAAGCGUUAUCCGGAAUUAUUGGGCGUAAAGCGCGCGUAGGCGGUUUUUUAAGUCUGAUGUGAAAGCCCACGGCUCAACCGUGGAGGGUCAUUGGAAACUGGAAAACUUGAGUGCAGAAGAGGAAAGUGGAAUUCCAUGUGUAGCGGUGAAAUGCGCAGAGAUAUGGAGGAACACCAGUGGCGAAGGCGACUUUCUGGUCUGUAACUGACGCUGAUGUGCGAAAGCGUGGGGAUCAAACAGGAUUAGAUACCCUGGUAGUCCACGCCGUAAACGAUGAGUGCUAAGUGUUAGGGGGUUUCCGCCCCUUAGUGCUGCAGCUAACGCAUUAAGCACUCCGCCUGGGGAGUACGACCGCAAGGUUGAAACUCAAAGGAAUUGACGGGGACCCGCACAAGCGGUGGAGCAUGUGGUUUAAUUCGAAGCAACGCGAAGAACCUUACCAAAUCUUGACAUCCUUUGACAACUCUAGAGAUAGAGCCUUCCCCUUCGGGGGACAAAGUGACAGGUGGUGCAUGGUUGUCGUCAGCUCGUGUCGUGAGAUGUUGGGUUAAGUCCCGCAACGAGCGCAACCCUUAAGCUUAGUUGCCAUCAUUAAGUUGGGCACUCUAAGUUGACUGCCGGUGACAAACCGGAGGAAGGUGGGGAUGACGUCAAAUCAUCAUGCCCCUUAUGAUUUGGGCUACACACGUGCUACAAUGGACAAUACAAAGGGCAGCGAAACCGCGAGGUCAAGCAAAUCCCAUAAAGUUGUUCUCAGUUCGGAUUGUAGUCUGCAACUCGACUACAUGAAGCUGGAAUCGCUAGUAAUCGUAGAUCAGCAUGCUACGGUGAAUACGUUCCCGGGUCU